rnacentral:tRNA from 1 species
AGGGAUACAGCUCAGUGGUACAGCGCAUGCUUACCAUGCAUGAGGUCCUGGGUUCAAUCCCCAGUACCUCCA